CGAAAUUAAGUGGAGAGAGAGAAAGAGAGAGGUGUAAAUGAAUAGAGAUUUGAGAAUUAAGAUAGUGACGAUAAAAAGAAAGAGAUGAAGGUAUUUGUGAGCUGGAGAGAAUGAGAGAAUCGAUGAGCAGAACAAGAAAGUGAACAGAUGGAAGUCUAACGAAAAAGGUUGUCCCAAUUCGAGAUAAAACAUAUCAGAUCCUAACUCCAUCUACUCCCCAUCUGAAAGAUUAUUACCGUAACUUGUAACCUCUGUCUACAUUCUUACUCAACCUGCUUCAAAAAAGUAGUCAAAUAACACCCUUACAUACUUAAAAGAAAUCGAAGAAUACAUUGGAUAAUCAACCUGAUGUUAGUCCCAGAUAAUAUACAAAAAGCAGUUUGAAUAUUCCUGGCCUAGGUCUGCAAAAACAGUUUUGAUCUGUUAAAAAAAGCAAUUAGCUAGUAUUUUGAAAACAUGAAAACAUGUACAUGCCUAUAUUUCUACUUUUCUGACUUUGGUGAUACUUUUUACUUAUCUUUUACAAUGACAACAGGAGUGAGAGAAAAUGAGAGAGAGAGAGGAGAAGACUAUUUCAAUCACAACAGUUUAGCACAUGUUCAAUAGUAUAGUCAGUUGCAGUAUCCACACCUGCUGGCAUCUUUGCGCCUCGCCUCUUCCACCUCUUUCACUCUUGUUUGUUGUUGUUGCCGUUCGAAACAAGACUUAAGGAGGGAAGGAAAGAGCAUGUUUUGUCUGCAUCCAGAUAUCUGUAGCCAAGCAUGACGACGCUCACUGAACGACAACGGAACGGCGUUUGUCACGCUCGGCCUGCUGCUUACAGUUCAGUCUGUCGGGACACAACUUACUGGAGGAUGUGUGGAAGAAGUUAAAGCGUUAGAAAUUUUUUGGAGAAAAUGUAAAUGUUAAUUGCAAAACCAAAAAUGGUCCUAUCAGAAGCAACCGUCAUUAUGCUUUCCGUUUGGAUUCCCAAGCAUAACCACUGAGACCACAAGCUUCAAGAAUCCGUCUUACAUUCCUUUCCUGCGACAUUCUAAUCCCAAGUCCGUGACCGUGACCUCUAAGCUCCAGACGACAUCUAUAUAUAUGAUUAUUCCAAAGAAGAACAUAACAAUAAUUUAUCGUAAUUCUUAGAAGUUACUCAUAAAUCUAGCAUAACACCUAAAUAACGAUGCGACUUAAAAAACAACUUCUACAAAUCCUCUCUUGGCAAGAUAAUAUGAACAUAUGCCGUUCAUCAUCGAAAUACAUAUCUCUGAGACUGCCAUUGAGUUAACAAUUAAAACAGCAACUAGGUCGACAACAUUCUCUACUUGGUUACUAAACCCUGCCAAGAAAAAUCAUUGCGUUGAAGUAAGAGAAGCCUAUGCUAUCAAAAAGUGGCCUCUAACCAAAGUGACUGAUCAGAAACCCAUAGCUUAUCAUAUAUCUAAUAUCAAUCACAAAAGAAUAAAAAUGGAAUAAAAUUAACGUGGUCGAUUAGAACUCCUGUCACUCUGUUACGAAAUCUCCCUUAAUGCUGCUGCAGAUUCACUAUCGGGUGGUUUUGGUGGUACUGUCACCUUGGCGUUAUAUAGUUCAUGCAUUUUGUUCUGGGACAAAAGCUUCCGUAUUCUGAGGACGACUUUAAACAACCGUUUCUGGAUGUCAUAUUUGUCAAAAGUUAAAACUACAAUACUUAUCAUCCAGAACCACAUCAGCUCUAUGUCUUCCUUUCAUCGCAUAAGCAUUGAUUUUCGUGUUCGUCAAAUAAAUAUCUGUUGAUUGUUGCCAAUGAAAAUUCCCGCUUUCCCUAACCGCGACAUUUCUUCAUCGAAUGUCAUUUCUUACCUGACCACAUCAUUCCCUAUCUUCAGUUCACCUCGAUCAGAGCGAAGUAUUAAACAACAACAACAAAGUGAAUAUAAGCAUAUAGAGUGUGUGUUUUAAAUGGCAAGGAAGCUACAUCGAUAUUUUGGGAGUAGGUGUGUAUGUAUGUAUGUAUGCAUGCAUGUAUGUAUGUAUGUAUGUGUGUAUGUAUAUAUGUACGUAUGUAAGAAUGUAUACAUGUUUGUAUGUAUGUACGCACGUUCGUACAAACAAACGAUUGAAUGAACGAAUGAAUUAAAUGGGCUGAAUGAACACCAAUGGGAGGGCUACUUGGCUGAUUGGUACUUCAUCGCUAACGGAUACAGGCCAGCCUUUGGCCCAUAGACAUGCUGUCUCCUGUCUGUCUCUUUUUUUCUAUCGCUACAAUAUUAGUUUGUUUCAUACCUCUAUCACUUAGGCACCCCAAACCACUCAUCUCAUCUCUCAGCUCAUUUGAUGUGUCCAACUACCCUUUGCCCACAUUAACAGUUCCACUCAGUCCUUUGUUUUCAGACCAUUAUCCUUCUGGAAUCUCACCCUGCCUCUUGUCUUCUGAUGACCUGCAUCUGUUCAAACGAAACAAUAACAGCAUCAAUUUUUUUGUCAGACUCAGAUGGCCUGCAAGGGUUAUGGGCUCUCUCCCAUCCUUCAGAUUCUGCAAGAGAGAGAGAGAGAGAGAGAGAGAGAGAUAGAGUAAGAAAAUGACAAUUUGCAUGUAAGCGGCUCAUGCAAGAAUUUUUUUCGGACAGUUGCUCAAUAAAAUGAAAUUCAAGCGUUAA